rnacentral:lncRNA from 1 species
GCCGUGCAAGCUCCUCUGUUGUGGGCGAACUCAAGCCUGGGAGCAACAUCAGCUGGGAGGCGUUGGUGGGUGGGUGCAAAGGCAAGCGGAGGUGCGGGGAGCACGGCCAGGCGGGAUGGGCGAGCGGCUACGCGAGUCUACGUCACUCGGCGUGAGGAAGACGAAGAGGAAAAAAGAAAUAGAAGACGCUGACAAGUGAGACCCACCGGUGCUCGCUGUUAGCAGUGUUAAAAUGACAUCAUACUAUCCCUCACAAUCCUUCCAACAAAAAACCGGGUUGAAGAACACCAGAUGAAGACAUCUCUAUCUCCA